UGGCAGCAGAGACAGGCAGGAGGGAAUUGGGGAGUGAUAAUAACGUUUUUUAUCUUGAUAGAGAUUCUGAUGAGUCCGCGUCACGGCACUGAACUUUUCCAGAAUAAUGUACCACGUUUCCGACUGAGAGAGGAAACAAAACAAGAUUCGGAAGGCUCCGAAUCUUGACGGCAACUUUGACAUUCAAGACCCCUGAGAAACAGCGUCUGCGCGCCCCAUGUUGCCCCUCCACGGACACACCCCUCGGACUUAGGUCAGUUGAAGGACGAAGUUUCGUGGAGCCAACAGAAGUACGAAAGGGUAAGUAUUCUGGCUUGGGUCUGUGUAACCCGUGAAAUAUAUUUAGUUCUGUAAGUCUGCAUCCAUUCAUUUAUCUAUCUAUAUCGUGUAUGUACCACACAUCCAAAAUGGUGUUUAUCUCAUUUCGUAGCAAAAAGCCACAGGGUUUGGAUAGUAGCACAGAGACAAGAUGGGACGGGGAGGGAGACAAACCAUAAGAGACUCUUAAUCUCAGGAAACCAACUGAGGGUUGCUGGGGGGUGGGGAGAGCAGUAGGAAGAGAGUGGUGGGGUUAUGGACACUGGGGAGGUUAUUUGCUAAGGUGAGUGCUGUGAAGUGUGUAAGCCUGACAGUUCACAGACCUGUACCCCCGGGGCAAAUAGUACAUUAUGUGUUAAUUUUUAAA
rnacentral:lncRNA from 1 species